rnacentral:rRNA from 1 species
AUUGAACGCUGGCGGCAUGCUUUACACAUGCAAGUCGAACGGUAACAGGUUAAGCUGACGAGUGGCGAACGGGUGAGUAAUGCAUCGGAACGUGCCCGGUCGUGGGGGAUAACGCAGCGAAAGCUGCGCUAAUACCGCAUACGAUCUGAGGAUGAAAGCGGGGGACCGUAAGGCCUCGCGCGAUCGGAGCGGCCGAUGUCAGAUUAGGUAGUUGGUGGGGUAAAGGCUCACCAAGCCAACGAUCUGUAGCUGGUCUGAGAGGACGACCAGCCACACUGGGACUGAGACACGGCACAGACCCCUACGGGAGGCAGCAGUGGGGAAUUUUGGACAAUGGGCGAAAGCCUGAUCCAGCAAUGCCGCGUGCAGGAAGAAGGCCUUCGGGUUGUAAACUGCUUUUGUACGGAGCGAAAAGGUCUCCUCUAAUACAGGGGGCUCAUGACGGUACCGUAAGAAUAAGCACCGGCUAACUACGUGCCAGCCGCCGCAGUAA